rnacentral:rRNA from 1 species
UAGGGAAUAUUGGACAAUGGGGGAAACCCUGAUCCAGCAAUGCCGCGUGAGUGAAGAAGGCCUUAGGGUUGUAAAGCUCUUUCGCCCGCGAAGAUAAUGACGGUAGCGGGAGAAGAAGCCCCGGCUAACUCCGUGCCAGCAGCCGCGGUAAUACGGAGGGGGCUAGCGUUGUUCGGAAUUACUGGGCGUAAAGCGUACGUAGGCGGAUGCGCAAGUUGGGGGUGAAAUCCCGGGGCUUAACCUCGGAAUUGCCCUCAAAACUGCACGUCUUGAGACCGAGAGAGGUAAGGGGAAUUCCUAGUGUAGAGGUGAAAUUCGUAGAUAUUAGGAAGAACACCAGUGGCGAAGGCGCCUUACUGGCUCGGUACUGACGCUGAGGUACGAAAGCGUGGGGAGCAAACAG